rnacentral:rRNA from 1 species
GAUGAACGCUAGCGGCAGGCUUAAUACAUGCAAGUCGAGGGGUAUAGUGGCAAUACUAGAGACCGGCGCACGGGUGCGUAACGCGUAUGCAACCUACCUUUUACAGGGGAAUAGCCCAGAGAAAUUUGGAUUAAUGCCCCAUGGUAUAUUUGAGUGGCAUCACUUGAUUAUUAAAGUUCCAACGGUAAAAGAUGGGCAUG